CCCUUAGAUGUUCUGGGCCGCACGCGCGCUACACUGAUGCAUUCAACGAGCCUAUCCUUGACCGACAGGUCCGGGUAAUCUUUGAAUCUGCAUCGUGACGGGGAUAGAUUAUUGCAAUUAUUAAUCUUCAACGAGGAAUGCCUAGUAGGCGCAAGUCAUCAGCUUGCGUCGAUUACGUCCAUGCCCUUUGUACACACCGCCCGUCGCUCCUACCGAUUGGGUGUGCUGGUGAAAUGUUCGGAUCGGCCGUUUGUCGCGGUUUCCGCGGCUCGUGGCUGAGAAGUUCAUUAAACCCUCCCACCUAGAGGAAGGAGAAGUCGUAACA
rnacentral:rRNA from 1 species